rnacentral:rRNA from 1 species
GAUUUAACGACAAGCGUACACGGUGGAUGCCACGUGAUAGAGGCGAUGAAGGGGAGCGUGCUAAUCUGCGAUAAGCGCCGGUAGGUGAUAUGAACCGUUGCCAACCGGCGAUACCCGAAUGGGAAGCAGUGUGACUCGUCACACUAUCAUUAACUGAAUCCAUAGGUUAAUGAGGCGAACAGGGAACUGAAACAUCUAGUACCCCGAGGAAAGAAAUCAACCGAAGAUUCCCCAGUAGCGGCGAGCGAGCAGGGAGAGCCCAGAGCCUGAGUCAGCAUGUGUGUUAGUGGAAGCGUCUGGAAAGGCGCGCGAUACAGGAGUGACAGCCCCGUACACAAAAGCGCAUGUGCUGUGAGCUCGUGGUAGGGCGGGACACGUGGUAUCGCAAUGUCACGAAUAUGGGACCAUCCUCCCAGGCUAAGCCUCUGACUGACCGAUAGUGAACCAGUACCGUGAGGGAAAGGCGAAAAGAACCCCGGCGAGGGGUGAAAAAACCUGAAACCGUGUACGUACAAGCAGUGGGAGCACCCUUCGGGGUGUGACUGCGUACCUUUGUAUAAUGGGUCAGCGACAUAUUCUGCCAGCAAGGUUAACCGAAUAGGGAGCGGAGAAACCGAGUCUUAAUUGGGCGUUAAGUUGCAGGGUAUAGGCCGAAACCCGGUGAUCUAGCCAUAUGGGCAGGUUGAAGGUUGGGUAACACUAACUGGAGGACCGAACCGACUAAUGUUGAAAAAAUUAGCUGUGGAUGACCUGUGGCUGGGGUGAAAGGCCAAUCAAACCGGGAGAUAGCUGGUUCUCCCGAAAGCUAUUUAGGUAGCGCCUCGUAGACUCAUCUCGGGGUAGAGCACUGUUUCGGCUGGGGGCCAUCGGCUUACCAACCCGAUGCAAACUGCGAAUACGGAGGAAUGUUAUGCAGGAGACACACGGCGGGUGCUAACGUCCCGUCGUGAAGAGCUAGCAGACCGCCAGCUAGGUCCCAAAGUCAUGGUUAAGUGGGAAACGAUGUGGGGAAGGCCCAGACAGCGGGGAUGAUGUUGGCAAGCAGCCAUCAUUUAAAGCGUAAUAGCUCACUGGUCGGUCGGCCUGCGCGGAAGAUGUAACGGGCUAAACCAUGCACCGAAAGCUGCGGCAUUUUCAGCUGUUGUUGGGUAGGGAAGCGUUCUGCAGCCUGUGAGUGGCCUGUGAGGUUGCUGGAAGUAUCAGAAGUGCGAAUGCUGACGCAAAGCCAACGAUAAAGCGGGUGAAAAGCCUUCCGCCGGAAACCAAGGGUUCCUGUCCAGCAUUAAUCGGGAGGGCAGGGUAGUCAGCCCUAAGGCGAGGCCGAGAGGCGUAGUCGAUGGGAAGCAGGUUAUAUUCCCGUACUUGGUGUUUUUGCGAAGGGGGCUUGAAGAAAACUAUGUUGGCCGGGCGACAGUUGUCCCGGUUUUAAGCGAUGUAGGUAUUGUGUUCGGUAAAAUCCGGUUCCCCGCACAACACUGAGGCGCGUGACGACGGCGAGGCACUACGGUGCUGAAGCAGCAAUGCCCUGCUUCCGAGGAAAGCCUCUAAGCAUCAGGUAACAUCAAAUCGUACCCCAAACCGACACAGGUGGUCAGGUAGAAAUACCAAGGCGCGAGAGAACUCAGGUGAAGGAACUAGGCAAAAAUGGUGCCGUAACUUCGGGAAAGAGCACGCGCUGACACGUAGGUGGUGAUUUACUCACGGAGCUGAAGUCAGUCGAAAGAUACCAGCUGGCUGCAACUGUUUAUUAAAACACAGCACUGUGCAAACGCACGAAAGUGGACGUAUACGGUGUGACGCCUGCCCGGUGCCCGAAGGUUGGUAUUUGAUAGAGGUCAGCGCAAGCGAAGCUCCCUGAUCGAAGCCCCGGUAAACGGCGGCCCGUAACUAUAACGGUCUAAGGUAGCGAAAUUCCUUGUCAGGUAAGUUCAAACCUGCACGAAUAAUGUAAUGAUGGCGGGCUGUCUCCGCAGACUCAGUGAAGUGAACUCGCUGUGAAGAUGCAGCAGUGAUGUACCCGCGGCAAGGCAGGCCCGUGAACCUUUACUAUAGCUUAACUGAACAUUGAGCCUUGAUGUGUAGGAUAGGUGGGAGAGAAGCUUUUGAAGUGGACGCCAGAAUGCAUGGAGCUUCCCUUUAAUGUUUGAUGUUCUAACGUGGACCCGUAAUCCAGGUUGCGGGCAGUGUCUGGAGUGGGUAGUUUGGCUGGGGCGGUCUCCUCUAAGAAGUAACGGAGGAGCACGGGUUGGCUAAUCACAGUCCGGACAUCAGGAGGUUAGUGCAAUGGCAUAGCCAGCUUGACUGCGAAGCGAGCGCGACGGCGCGAAAGCAGGUGCGAAAGCAGGUCAUAGUGAUCCGGUGGUUCUGAAUGGAAGGGCCAUCGCUCAACGGAUAAAAGGUACCCGGGGAUAACAGGCCGAUACCGCCCGUUAUUCAUAUAUAUCGACGGCGGUGUUUGGCACCUCGAUGUCGGCUCAUCACAUCCUGGGCUGAAGUAGGUCCUGGCGGUAUGGCUGUUCGCCAUUUAAAGUGGUACGCGAGCUGGCUUAGAACGUCGUGAGACAGUUCGGUCCCCAUUCGCCGCGCGCUGAGAACUGAGGGGCUGUUCCUAGCAAUGAGAGUGACCGAGUGGACGCAUCACUGGUGUUCGUUGUCAUGCCAAUGGCACUGCCCGGUAAAGCAAAUGCGAAGAGAUAAGUGCUGAAAGCAUCUAAGCACGAAACUUGCCCCGAGAUGGCUCCCUCCUGAGACUUUAGGUCUCCUGAAGGAACGUUGAAAGUACACGACGUUGGAUAGGCCGGGUGUGUAAGCGCAGCGAUGUGUUGAGCUAACCGGCACUACGAACCGUGAGGCUUAAACCUA